GGGUAAGUCGACCCCUAAGGCGAGGCCGAAAGGCGUAGUCGAUGGGAAACGGGUUAAUAUUCCCGUACUUCUUACAAUUGCGAUGGGGGGACGGAGAAGGCUAGGUGGGCCUGGCGACGGUUGUCCAGGUUCAAGUGCGUAGGCUUAAGAGUUAGGUAAAUCCGGCUCUUUUUAAGGCUGAGACACGACGUCGAGCACCUACGGGUGUGAAGUCAUUGAUGCCAUGCUUCCAGGAAAAGCCUCUAAGCUUCAGAUUGUAAGGAAUCGUACCCCAAACCGACACAGGUGGUCGGGUAGAGAAUACCAAGGCGCUUGAGAGAACUCGGGUGAAGGAACUAGGCAAAAUGGUACCGUAACUUCGGGAGAAGGUACGCUCUCGACGGUGAAGUCCCUCGCGGAUGGAGCUAUUGAGAGUCGCAGAUACCAGGUGGCUGCAACUGUUUAUUAAAAACACAGCACUGUGCAAAAUCGUAAGAUGACGUAUACGGUGUGACGCCUGCCCGGUGCCGGAAGGUUAAUUGAUGGGGUUAGACUUCGGUCGAAGCUCUUGAUCGAAGCCCCGGUAAACGGCGGCCGUAACUAUAACGGUCCUAAGGUAGCGAAAUUCCUUGUCGGGUAAGUUCCGACCUGCACGAA
rnacentral:rRNA from 1 species